UCUAGUUGUCAUGUCAAAAAACCACUUAGACAGACUAUGAAGAGAUACAUAGGGUGAGAAACAGAGGCCUUCAGCCAACAGCUGGGAGAAGCUGAGUCCCAUCAGCAAUUCAAAAGUCUGCAGCCCCAGCCAACAGUUUGAUGUAACCUCAUGAGAGACCCUGAGCCAGAACCACCUAGGCCAAUGAGCUAUACCCAGUGAUUCCAAAGUCCACAUAUAUUUAUUCUGUUCUCAUUGUGCAAAGUAACCACUCUGAAGUCAAAAAAGCUGGGAUACAUGAUGACUGUCAUCCCUUGAGUCACGUGCCCUGUAGCUGCCACUGUUGGGCUUGACUCUCUGUCCUUGGGCCCACUUUGAAAAUCCCUGGGAAGUCCUUGGAGUCAGAUGAUCAGGCCUCCACGCCUCUGCCAAAAAGUCUGUUCACAAUGGUGUUUCUAGAAUUUCCUUAUAGGAGGAGUGAAGAGUAAGCAUUUGGAUUGGACCAGAAUUUGGAGAACUUGUCAUGUUGCUCUAUGUGCAUAUGAAAUACAUCAUCGUAACUUAGAAUGUGAAUUAUAGAACAAAAAUGAAAGUUAGAAAAAUAUUCU
rnacentral:lncRNA from 1 species